GUGGGGAAUUUUGGACAAUGGGCGCAAGCCUGAUCCAGCAAUGCCGCGUGCAGGAAGAAGGCCUUCGGGUUGUAAACUGCUUUUGUACGGAACGAAAAGGCUCUGGCUAAUACCUGGAGCUCAUGACGGUACCGUAAGAAUAAGCACCGGCUAACUACGUGCCAGCAGCCGCGGUAAUACGUAGGGUGCGAGCGUUAAUCGGAAUUACUGGGCGUAAAGCGUGCGCAGGCGGUGCUGUAAGACAGGCGUGAAAUCCCCGGGCUCAACCUGGGAAUUGCGGUUGUGACUGCAGCGCUGGAGUGCGGCAGAGGGGGAUGGAAUUCCGCGUGUAGCAGUGAAAUGCGUAGAUAUGCGGAGGAACACCGAUGGCGAAGGCAAUCCCCUGGGCCUGCACUGACGCUCAUGCACGAAAGCGUGGGGAGCAAACAGGAUUAGAAACCCCAGUAGUCC
rnacentral:rRNA from 1 species